rnacentral:rRNA from 1 species
UAGGGAAUAUUGCACAAUGAGCGAAAGCUUGAUGCAGCAACGCCGCGUGCGCGAUGACGGCCUUCGGGUUGUAAAGCGCUUUUCGGGGAGAUGAGGAAGGACAGUAUCCCCAGAAUAAGUCUCGGCUAACUACGUGCCAGCAGCCGCGGUAACACGUAGGAGGCGAACGUUAUCCGGAUUUACUGGGCGUAAAGCGCGUGUAGGUGGUUUGGUAAGUAGGGCGUGAAAGCUCCUGGCUCAACUGGGAGAGGCCGUUCUAAACUGCCGAACUAGAGGAUGGUAGAGGGAGGUGGAAUUCCGGGUGUAGCGGUGGAAUGCGCAGAUAUCCGGAGGAACACCAGUGGCGAAAGCGGCCUCCUGGACCACUCCUGACACUCAGACGCGAAAGCUAGGGUAGCAAACGG